UUAAAAACUUUAAUACUUUUGACAAUGGACGUUUUGAAAAAACAGAUUAUGGAUUUAGCGUGUUUUCAUGUUUCUACAAUAAGAUGUCAGCGAGUUAUGAACUCAGAUUCACAAGAAAGAUCCCUUGUCCCCAGAGGGUUAAAGUCAGUUACGUUAUUUUAGUUCUGUUCUUAGAUGUUUUAGGGUAACCCUAUUCUCGGGAAUAGUUUUUCCACCGUACUGUCUGUUAACAGGGAUAGUUUGGUAUCUUCUGUAUUAUCCUUGUGGUUUGACAACUAUAAAUCCGUUCUAAAUUUGUGUUUUCUCCCCCCUGCCUGUAGAUGGCACUCUCCAGAAGCCCACUCGCAUGGGGCUCGCUGCCUCAGCCCUGCGCCGGCGGCUGCAGCCCCUGGAGGAGGUCCUGCUGGAUGAGGAGUGUGCUAUAUACACCUGCCAGCUGUCUGCCUCCUCCAUGCAGCCCCUUCGGUGUGGAAACCCAGUGGCCUCCACUCUGCACUUCAAGGAUUCUAUGUGUUUUGCUCCAGUCUCACUGCCUUCCCUUUCAUUUGGCUAAUUACCCUCUACCCAGAAUGCCACCAGUGUUUCCAGUUGUGCUUUCACCACUGAUCAUUCAAGACAGUAAGACAUUCCAAGAGUCACAACCACCUGCCAGUUUACUGAAUAUUACCCCCCCCCCCCCAUCUCUACUAAUUAUUCUCACUCCUCAUUAGACUCUGAUUUGGGAAUACAUUAAAGCAGAUCUGGUUUUUCACCGCCAUCAUGCAGAAAUAACAUAGUUUUGAGGUUCCUGUUAUCAGAUAACCAUGAGAGGGACUGCUGGUUAUCUGCUUGCAUCUCUCUAUCUAUCUUAUAACUGUUUGCUGUUUGACUUACAACAUUCCUGGAGUUGCAGUAACUUUAAUGGGAUCAGCAGGCAGUUUGUUAAAGCUAUAGGAAGAGAAUAUAUCUGUCCCUUUGUCACAUCAGGGUGCCUUUUAAUGCAAGAACAGCUAUUUUGGGAUUUUUAAAUAGGCUUGUUUGGACUGAUGCAAUUUCCCUACAUUUUCAAAGAUCACGUAGGGUACGGCCCUUGGGCUUUUCCCUGGAAGAGAACCGCAAGACCUCAUGUGGUUCUGUGUCUUAGUCAGGAUACAUGUGGCAAUGUCAGAAAGUAAAAUCAGGAGGUAAUGUUGCAGCAGACCUUUGGUUUAAGAGCCUUUGGUCUGUGGUCCAAUCAAAACAGCACAUGUUCGCAGUGACCAAUGAAACUGUUAGGCUCUAUGCUCCAUGUCUAGCCAUCUGUGUUUUCCCAGUGUGAGGAACCUCUGCAGGGUUUUCCCCAGAUGCGGCUAUGACAGGAGGGAGUCUUCCGGUAGCAGAUGAGACCCGUGUAUGAUCAAAAGGUCCAAGUGAGCAGCAGAUACAGAAGCACAGUGCAUGGAAUGUCCCCCCCCUUUAAUCCUCCUUCAUUGUCUGUUGAAUUUUUGCCUUGUUUCUAAAACUAAAUAGAAUAAAUACACUGAUCAAACAUUCUUUGCUAAAAGGCUGUUUCCAUCCAUAAUGUGCUCCUCUCUCUCCUUUUUUUUUUGUACCUCUCCGGCGUCCCCCUCUAUCAGAUGUGUUGCACGAAUCACUUCUGCACAGUGUAUAUAACAUCUAGUGUUUAUAAUAAUGUCUUUUUAUCAUAAUGUAAUAAAAUGUUAAUCUUUGUCA